CCUCUGUCAGAAGGUGUCUGUGGCUACCCAGUUCUGGAAUGCUCGCAGGGUGGGGCAGCUGGUCCCAGGACGGGAAGAAUCCUAAGUAUCCUUCUGAUGCAUUUGCUCCGAUGCAGACCGCGAGGUUCCUGGGGUCGUCUGCCCCUCCACAUCCCAGGGGUGGGGCUACGGUCUGGGGUGCAGGGCUAGGGGUUGGGAGCGUAAGGAGACCAGGGACACAAUGGAGCUAGGGGUUACAGAGGGGGAGCAAGGAGAGGGCUGGGGACAUAGAAGGGGCACAGGCACGACAGGAAGAGGGCUGUGAAGUGAUGCGAAUGCCGCGCUGCUACAAGACGAGCUUGUGGAUACUGGGGUUCUGCCAAUCCCGGUGCCCACUGGGUGGGCGCGGCCGGGAAGCUCCUGCCCCUCCCUGCUGGUCGGCGUCACGCGUGACGUCCCGCGUGAUGGCUGGGAGGGCCCGGCGGCGACAGCGGAGGCAGAGAGGAAGGAAGGCGGUUCUGAGAGCUUCAGAGAGCUCUGGAAAGCAAAAUGGGUGAAUUGCCUUUAGACAUCAACAUCCAGGAACCUCGCUGGGACCAAAGUACUUUCCUGGGCAGAGCCCGGCACUUUUUCACUGUUACUGAUCCUCGAAAUCUGCUGCUGUCUGGGGCACAGCUGGAAGCUUCUCGGAACAUUGUGCAGAACUACAGGGCCGGCGUGGUGACCCCAGGGAUCACCGAAGACCAGCUGUGGAGGGCCAAGUAUGUGUAUGACUCCGCCUUCCAUCCGGACACAGGGGAGAAGGUGGUCCUGAUUGGCCGCAUGUCAGCCCAGGGGUCUAAAGAUGAGGGCCACUGUAGACGGGGCAGAAGUGAGUGUCUUUGUUCCCUCAGGAAGACCCCAACUGUGGUGUUCUGGCAGUGGGUGAAUCAGUCCUUCAAUGCCAUUGUUAACUACUCCAACCGCAGUGGUGACACUCCCAUCACCGUGAGGCAGCUGGGGACAGCCUAUGUGAGUGCCACCACUGGAGCUGUGGCCACGGCCCUGGGACUCAAAUCCCUCACCAAGCACCUGCCCCCCUUGGUUGGCAGAUUUGUGCCCUUUGCAGCGGUGGCAGCUGCCAACUGCAUCAACAUCCCCCUGAUGAGGCAGAGAGAGCUGCAGGUGGGCAUCCCGGUGGCUGAUGAGGCAGGUCAGAGGCUUGGCUACUCGGUGACUGCAGCCAAGCAGGGAAUCUUCCAGGUGGUGAUUUCAAGAAUCUGCAUGGCGAUUCCUGCCAUGGCCAUCCCCCCACUGAUCAUGGACACUCUGGAGAAGAAAGACUUCCUGAAGGUAGGCGACUCUACCUCUCCUGUCCUGGAAUGGGUGAUGGCUGGGAGAAGAAGUGACCAGGCUCCAACCCUCUCUCCAGCCUCGCUUGAGUCUCUAAGACUUGCCAGCCCUUCUCCUGACCCCUGCACCGCCUCCUCCACCUUCAUUCAUUCAGCGAGAAUGAACUGGGCUGGGGUGAAGGAACCCUGCGGGGGCAGAAGGAGAGGACAAGGGAAGGAAACCAACUUCAUCAGUGUUACUCCAGAAGCUUCUGACACACACAGAAGGGGACUGUCAUAGUCAUGCUUGAUCUCAUGCUCAUUCUUUUACCCCCUAGUGCCUCCAUACUGAGAGGUACACACGGGUGAACACACACACACAGACAUGAACAGGACACAAAAGCAAAGCACAGGAACAAGCUCUGGCUCAUUCACAGAAUCAUUUAUUCACAAAUGUAUUGAGUGCCACGCACCAGGCAUGUUUUAGGGCUGAGGAGACGGCACUGAACAAGAUGGUUAUGGCCCCUGUCCUCAUGAAGUUUAUAGUCUGAUGCAGAAACCAAGAAACAAGGAGGCACCCAAUAAAUACAUUCUUAGAAAGUGUAAUAUGUGCUUUGUAGGAAAGCAGUGGGGGUAGUGUAAUUGAGAUUCAUGGGGGAGAGCUGUUUAGAUAGGAUGGUCAGAGAAGGGGUCUUUAAAGCCCCAAAGGAUGAGGAGAGAGCCAAAUAACGUGGAGAAGAGUAUUUGGGGUGCAGAAAACAGUCAGUGCAAGGGCACUGCAGCAGGAGGGGCUUGCACAUCUGAGGGACAGGUUGGUGGUCCCUGUGGCCAGAGCAAAUUGAGAAGAGUGCCGAGGAAGAGAUGUGCUUGCAAAGGGUCAGAUUCAUGCCACUGGGAUGGGAAGAGGUAAGUGGAGGUUCACAGGUUUCCUGAAGAAAUCAGCUCCUGGAGGAAGUGAGGGAAGAAAAAAAGGGGCCAGGGAGUACCAUGGCAACCAAUUCUGAGAGGUGAGAGGUCAUGGGAUGCCAGGGAGGGUGAUCAGCAGACAGGCCUGGCUAGAACUGAAGGGUGCGAUCUGGAGGUCCCAGCCCUGUCAUCGCCUUGGGAUAAAGAAAAGGGCCACAGGUCUAAGGGAUCCAAGGCAAGGCUGAUGGGAUAGAGCUAUGGUGGGUGAAAUGGGGUGACAGUGAGGCAGGGGACACAAGCCGUUCUAUUGUCUUUCUGUCUCUCCACAGCGCCGCCCCUGGCUGGGAGCGCCCCUGCAGGUGGGACUGGUGGGCUUCUGCCUGGUAUUUGCGACGCCCCUGUGCUGUGCACUAUUCCCCCAGAAGAGCUCCAUACACGUGAGCAAGCUGGAACCAGAGCUGAGAGCUCAGAUCCAUGAGCAAAACCCCAGUGCUGAAGUGGUCUACUACAACAAGGGGCUUUGAGGAGGGUCAGCCUCUGUCCCCUCCCUCACUUCCUUGGGCUGCUGCUUUAGUGGAGUCAUAUCACCCCUGCCACUUGGCUAUCUGCCUAGCACUGGGCAGCGGCCUUGGUGGGCAGAUGGCCAUUGAGGGUAGCAACCUAUUAGGGUGGGGGAGGUACCCCCAUAAGGCUUUUCCUCCCUCCUCUGGUUUCAAAGAUCAGAGCACAUAACCCCUCCCUCCUGUGCUUGAGUGUCCAUGCCUAUACAUACAUGAUACACAUGUGUAUGUGUACAUUGGGUCCUGAAAGCUAGGAGCAGGCAUGCUAGCCUAGUACGUUCUGACAUCUGGCUUCCCUUCUCAGCCUCAUGUCCACCUGCCUGCCAGCCAGGCUACAGGUGGGACUUCCUUCUCUAAACUGUUAUACCAGCCAAGUUAUUUUUGAUGGCACCUCAUCCCUUCUAGACAUAGGAGGAGCCCCAGGAUCUCAGGACAGAGACUUAUAGACACUAGUAGGACAAAGCGGGCUGAAUCCUUCAGGUUUCUGAUACCUAGCUCCCCAAGCUGACUGGGCUGGCAGAGGAGAACAUAUUGGGACAAGGGAGGCAGGUGACUUAUGCAUCCCUCAUUGCCAUCCCUUGUAUCCUGGAAUAGCUCCAUUUCCCCUCCUCCUCUCUACCAGACAAAGGAGUGCCUGUGUCCUGUACUGCCCUCGCUGUCUCCCCCACCACCCUACUCGGCAGCAUGGGCAUCUUCAGGCACAGCCUUGAGAGUUCCUGGUGUGCUCUGCCAUCAUGACCUCAAAUCUAAAUCCUCCAAUCCCAACUCCGUUUCCCAAACAAAAAGCCACAGAGGCAGAGCAAGCAUUCCCCUUUAAGAGCUCCCACUGCACCCCCUCCCAAGGGACACAGCUGUAGGAAUGGUGCUUAAACUCCACAGGUAUCAGACAGGGUGUAACUAGGACAUCCUCAAGGGCAGCUAGGACCCGAAUGUACAAUAUGAAGACAGGGAAUUUUGUGCUCCAUUGAUUUUUUUUUUUUUUUUGACGGAGUUUCACUAUUUUGCCCAAGCUGGAGUGCAAUGGUGCAAUCUUGGCUCACUGCAACCUCUGCCUCCUGGGUUCAAGUGAUUCUCUUGCCUCAGUCUCCCAAGUAGCUGGGAUUACAGGUGCACGCUACCACAUCUUGCUAGUUUUGUAUUUUUAGCAGAGAUGGGGUUUCACCAUGUUGGCCAGGCUAGUCUCAAACUCCUGACCUCAGGUGAUCCACCUGCCUUGGCCUCCCAAAGCACUGGGAUUACAGGCAUGAGCCACCACACCCAGCCUGUUCCACUGACAUUUCUUAGACAUUCAGCAAAACCCCCACCUUAACCUCUUUUCUUUCUUGAGUGUUGGUCCUGUCCCCACAUCCACCCUCCCACCCCCUGGAAAAGGAAGGGCCCGGGCAUUAAUGGCUAGUCCAAAUAAAAUAUGGGCUUGGAUGGAAUGGGUGGUGGUAAGUUCACAGAGUGUAGUUAGAUCCCAACUCCCAUGACCUCUGGCUUCAGUGGUGGGUGGGGCAGGGCAGAUGAAAAGGCUUCAGUGGGAACCUCUGAGAGCAUUUUCCUGUUCCCCCCAUCAACCACCCCCAGUGAUAAUAUCUAUGAAGCCAGCCAUUACUCAAUAAACUGCAAACUUGUCUACUU